UGAUCGAUGGUGUAACGGUAGCACUGCAGUUUUUGGUGCUGUAUGUCAAGGUUCGAAUCCUUGUCGGUCAA
rnacentral:tRNA from 2 species